GAUGAACGCUGGCGGCGUGCCUAAUACAUGCGAGUCGAGCGAAUGGAUUAAGAGCUUGCUCUUAUGAAGUUAGCGGCGGACGGGUGAGUAACACGUGGGUAACCUGCCCAUAAGACUGGGAUAACUCCGGGAAACCGGGGCUAAUACCGGAUAACAUUUUGAACCGCAUGGUUCGAAAUUGAAAGGCGGCUUCGGCUGUCACUUAUGGAUGGACCCGCGUCGCAUUAGCUAGUUGGUGAGGUAACGGCUCACCAAGGCAACGAUGCGUAGCCGGCCUGAGAGGGUGAUCGGCCACACUGGGACUGAGACACGGCCCAGACUCCUACGGGAGGCAGCAGUAGGGAAUCUUCCGCAAUGGACGAAAGUCUGACGGGGCAACGCCGCGUGAGUGAUGAAGGCUUUCGGGUCGUAAAACUCUGUUGUUAGGGAAGAACAAGUGCUAGUUGAAUAAGCUGGCACCUUGACGGUACCUAACCAGAAAGCCACGGCUAACUACGUGCCAGCCGCCGCAGUAA
rnacentral:rRNA from 1 species